AGGGAAGGCAUACAUGGCGUGAUAUUGAUUUGGUUCAUCUUAAUUUGUUGAAAACAUCAACGUAUAGACGAGCCGAAUCAAUAUCACUCUUGUAUGUUUUUCU
rnacentral:pre_miRNA from 1 species